AAUAGAUACCCAGGUAGUCCACGCCGUAAACGAUGAGUGCUAAGUGUUAGAGGGUUUCCGCCCUUUAGUGCUGAAGUUAACGCAUUAAGCACUCCGCCUGGGGAGUACGGCCGCAAGGCUGAAACUCAAAGGAAUUGACGGGGGCCCGCACAAGCGGUGGAGCAUGUGGUUUAAUUCGAAGCAACGCGAAGAACCUUACCAGGUCUUGACAUCCUCUGACAACCCUAGAGAUAGGGCUUCUCCUUCGGGAGCAGAGUGACAGGUGGUGCAUGGUUGUCGUCAGCUCGUGUCGUGAGAUGUUGGGUUAAGUCCCGCAACGAGCGCAACCCUUGAUCUUAGUUGCCAUCAUUAAGUUGGGCACUCUAAGGUGACUGCCGGUGACAAACCAGAGGAAGGUGGGGAUGACGUCAAAUCAUCAUGCCCCUUAUGACCUGGGCUACACACGUGCUACAAUGGACGGUACAAAGAGCUGCAAGACCGCGAGGUGGAGCUAAUCUCAUAAAACCGUUCUCAGUUCGGAUUGUAGG
rnacentral:rRNA from 1 species